GCCAGCGUGACUAGACACAGAAUGCUGUUACCUUCCGAUUGUGGUGGUACCUACUUGCAUUUUUACAUGCUUUCAAACUGCUAGGUUGGCAGGAAUUAAAACCAUACAACCCCCCUAUAUAUUAAAUAUAUAUAUAUUAAAUAAAAUAAAUAAUAAUACCAGUAUCAUCUGGUUAGAUGGGUUUAGUUGGAUUCUAGUUGGAUUCUCAUAUUUUCUUGUACCUAUUUUCACAAUCAGCUGGCCUAGAAUCAGUUCCAGUCUCCCUCCCACACUUUGCCUGCCCCACUAUUGUGACAUCACAGAGACCCACACUCUGGACUCAAAUUUUUCCCCUAACAUCCCAGGGAAUGAGAUACUGCUGCCUGAACAGCUGGAGACAGUCACCUCACUCUCCCUGAUGGGUAAAGACUGUUCCUGCUGUAUUAGGUCGGAAACAUGUGUUCCUCGAGGCAUAAACUGCUGCAAACAAUUUCCUGUUUGAGAAAACCUGCUCUGGAAUCAUAAGGAGAGCAGGCUGACCUGGCCCUUCAAUCCUACUUUCAAUUCUGCUGUCAAAUGCUAAGCUAGCAAGUGUGCAAGGGAGUCAACAGCCAGCCCAGAUCAAACACCGAGUAGCUUGAGCCAAGUUUCAAGGAAUGUGUAAGAUUCUGAGAGAAGAGCCAGCAGUCAAACCCUAAUGCAAAGGCCAGCCCAACAGGGCCAAGAAGAGGAAACAAAGAGGAAGAGAGCUGCAACAGACAAAUUGACAGGCAGGAAUUCAGGCCAACCCAACACAAAGAAGAUUGGGGCAGGAUGCGAGUUUGCCCUGAGACCCUUCCCUUUGUCACCUGAUUAGUUAUUUACUGCAAAUGCCUGACCUUGCGAGUGCCCAGGCUACCUUGAUUGUCUUCUCUGUUUUAACACCUGGAGUUGCUGGCGUUCUCCAGGGUGAGGAGGUUCUGUAUUCAUCAAGCUGUCAUCAUCUCCUGGAAGAACUGGGCCCACACCUUCUCCAACUCCUGUGUUCCUUGGAGAGGGUGGCUAGCGGGGAGGCCUUGAGAUGCUCCCUAGCUCUAGUGUCCUCCUCUUAAGGCCACACAUCCUCUGAAGAGGACUCAGCUAAAGUGGUCCAGCUUGAUGUUUGGUGUCUGCGCACCAUUGUUAUGUGUAGUUCCCCCUGCCCCCGCCUGAGGCACCCACCCCAUUCUUCCUCAUCAUUCAUUUAGCUUAGUUUUCACUUUCUCAACAACCGGUUUGCAUAAUUUAUUUUUAGUUUAGGACAGGAUAAGUGGCUGUGCCAGGGACCAUGGAAAAACCUAUUUAGUCAUUUCCUUGAUUGUGUAAGUGUUCAAAAGGAAAGUUGAAAUACACAUUAAUGACACACACAUUCAAGCAUAUAUUUGCAUGCCAAAGGCCUAGGAGUCAGGUUAAAAAAAAA
rnacentral:lncRNA from 1 species